GACGAACGCUGGCGGCGGGCUUAACACAUGCAAGUCGAACGGAAAGGCCCUGCUUUUGUGGGGUGCUCGAGUGGCGAACGGGUGAGUAACGCGUGAGUAACCUGCCCUUGACUUUGGGAUAACUUCAGGAAACUGGGGCUAAUACCGGAUAGGAGAUCCUGCUGCAGGGUGGGGGUUGGAAAGUUUCGGCGGUUGGGGAUGGACUCGGGGCUUAUCAGCUUGUUGGUGGGGUAGUGGCUUACCAAGGCGUUGAGGGGUAGCCGGCCUGAGAGGGGGACCGGCCACACUGGAGCUGAGACACGGUCCAGGGUCCUAAGGUACGCAGCAGUCGCGAAUGUUGGGCAAUGGGGGGAAGUAUGACACAGCGAGGCCACGCGUGAGACGAAGGCCUCGCGAUCGGAAAGCCCUCCUACUGGUGAUAAACCGCUGUCGCCUGAGACGAAGCGUGAGUGACGGUAAUGAAUAAAGAAGCACCGGCUAACUACGUG
rnacentral:rRNA from 1 species